rnacentral:rRNA from 1 species
GAUGAACGCUGACAGCAUGCUUAACACAUGCAAGUCAUUGGCGAAGCUGCGCUUGCGCAGUCUAGCCAAGGCGGACGGGUGAGUAACGCGUAAGGAACUUGCCCUGCAGACAGGGAUAACAGACGGAAACGACUGAUAACACCUGGUAUUGUCAGGCUGGCGCAUGCCGGCCUGAUGAAAGGAGACGCUGCAGGAGAGCCUUGCGUCCUAUUAGCUAGUUGGUGGGGUAACGGCCCACCAAGGCGAUGAUAGGUAGCCGGCCUGAGAGGGUGAACGGCCACAAGGGGACUGAGAUACGGCCCUUACUCCUACGGGAGGCAGCAGUGGGGAAUAUUGGACAAUGGGGGCAACCCUGAUCCAGCAAUUCUGUGUGCACGAAGAAGGUUUUCGGAUUGUAAAGUGCUUUCAGCAGGGAAGAAGAAAGUGACGGUACCUGCAGAAGAAGCGACGGCUAAAUACGUG